GCGACGGUUUUGGUGACUUCCAAAUUGAUCCGGGAUCCAUACAAGCAAUUUCUGAUGAACAGCUUCCUACCGAUUCUCCAAGCAGUACACAAGAACCAACAAGCGAUAAACAACGCGAAUGCUCGUGUAAAAAUGCCUUGUUUGGAGCUAUAAUUGGAAUUCUUGUUCUUAUAAUAAUUCUCCUCAUUAUCUACGUGGUGUGGCUGCACAAGAAAGGUACAGCAGGAACAAAACGGCAAUAUGAAGACAACAGAGGAGUAUAUGAUGUAAGAUAAUCUAUUUGUUG